CUUGUUCUAUGCACAAAAUUGAAAGCCAACUUUAUCCGGAAGAAUAAUGGAAUUCUGGUGGUGAAAUAUGGACAAUCUCAGGACAAUCAAUAUUUAACUUUCUAUAUAAGUUAUAUGAACGCUGAGUUUGGCCUAAAAUGCACCCCGUGAGGUACCGUGAGAGAAAAAGCAGAGCGACUUAAUAUCUAAAGGUUUAAACAUCUGUAUUCUUUUCAAUCCUAUGGCAAUAAAAUUAAUUGUAUAUUUGAA